CCCGACUUACCAACCCGAUGCAAACUGCGAAUACCGGAGAAUGUUAUCACGGGAGACACACGGCGGGUGCUAACGUCCGUCGUGAAGAGGGAAACAACCCAGACCGCCAGCUAAGGUCCCAAAGUCAUGGUUAAGUGGGAAACGAUGUGGGAAGGCCCAGACAGCCAGGAUGUUGGCUUAGAAGCAGCCAUCAUUUAAAGAAAGCGUAAUAGCUCACUGGUCGAGUCGGCCUGCGCGGAAGAUGUAACGGGGCUAAACCAUG
rnacentral:rRNA from 1 species